rnacentral:lncRNA from 1 species
UUGUGGGAAUUGUUGCGAUCAGUCGUAAUCACUUCUUUAAGGGACCGUUUGGUUGCAUGUAAUUGCAACUGUAUUAUAGUUGUAGCUGUAUUUAAAUGCAAAUUUUAUAUUUGGUUUGAUAUAUUUAACUCCAACUGCUGCAGUAGAAACUGCAGGAGGAGGUCCAACUGGAGCAAUUCGAGCUACUCCCAAAUUAGUCGAAGUUCCAACUAUGGCAGAUGGAGAGAGUAAUUUUAAGUAAAAAGUAUUCUUACUGCCUCAAAAUUUUUUAAACAAAAAUUCAAAAUUAAAAUUUUACAUUACAAUACCAAUUUCAAAAAUUAAAUUUAAAUUCAAUAUUAUUUUUAGCUGGAUACUUAAUAAAUUGGAUAUCAUCUAAUUUGGUAAGUUAUCAAAGUAAAUAAGAUAUUUAAUAUUUAAAGUAUGCUGACAAAUUUGGUAUAUACUAAUUUUUUUUCCAAUAUUGUCAUAUUAAUUAAUUCAAAUCGGUAAUCUGUUCAACAAGUUACUUCAUGUAAAUCUCAACUAUACCCUUUACUAAUUAAGGAAUUAAAUUUUAAUAUUUAUGGUGUAUUGAAGCAUUUCUCAAAAUAUUAUUACUGCUCAAAAAAUUACUCUACUCAAAUAACAUUAUUUGUAGAGUGCUAUUACGAAGCAAAUUUAGUAUCACUAAAUUCCACAUAUUAUACUAAGGGGCCGUUUGGUUGGAUGUAGUUACAGAAACAGUGUAGUUAGAAAUACAUGCAGUUGCAAAUGCUGCAGUUGUAACUACACCUAGUCUGUUUGGUUUUACGCAGUUGCAACUGCUGCAGUUACAUUUCUUCUAUUUGGUAAUAUGGAGCUGAUAGUUGUAUUUAUGAAUUUUGUCAUCUCUUCAGAUAGAGUGGUGAGGUUACCUUCACUAAAUAUAAAAUAAUUGUAUAAAUUUAUUAAUUAUUUAAAUUUACUAUUUAUAAAUAAAUAAGUAGAUAUAUAUAAUAUUUUUAUAUUUUUCAAUAAUUCUU